rnacentral:rRNA from 1 species
AGCAGCCGCGGUAAUUCCAGCUCCAAUAGCGUAUAUUAAAGUUGUUGCAGUUAAAAAGCUCGUAGUUGAAUUUUAGGCCUGGCCGGACGGUCCGUCUCUGGCGAGUACUGUUCUGUCGUCGGGUCUAUCCUUCUGGUGAGCCGGUAUGUUCUUAAUUGGGCGUGUCGGGGAACCAGGACCGUUACCUUGAAAAAAUUAGAGUGUUUAAAGCAGGCUUUUGCUUGAAUAGAUUAGCAUGGAAUAAUAGAAUAGGACGUUGUGGUUCUAUUUUGUUGGUUCUAGGACCACCGUAAUGAUUAAUAGGGAUAGUUGGGGGCAUUAGUAUUCAAUUGUCAGAGGUGAAAUUCUUGGAUUUAUUGAAGACUAACUACUGCGAAAGCAUUUGCCAAGGAUGUUUUCAUUAAUCAAGAACGAAAGUUAGGGGAUCGAAGACGAUCAGAUACCGUCGUAGUCUUAACCAUAAACUAUGCCGACUAGGAAUCGGGCGACGUUAUUUUCACGACUCGCUCGGCGCCUUAUG